CAUACCUGUUCGAGCGUCAUUACACCCCUCAAAGAUAACUCUUUGGCGUUGGGCAAUGCCUAAAGGCAUGCCUCAAAAUCAGCGAUGGUGAUAUUCAACCACAGGCGCACAAAUGUCGUCUAGCUGGCGGGAUGUUGUCAGUCAAUUGAUGAAUUUCUAAAUGUUGACCUCGGAUCAGGUAGGAAUACCCGCUGACUUAA
rnacentral:misc_RNA from 1 species